CCUACGGGGGGCAGCAGUGAGGAAUAUUGGUCAAUGGACGAGAGUCUGAACCAGCCAAGUAGCGUGAAGGAUGACUGCCCUAUGGGUUGUAAACUUCUUUUAUAUGGGAAUAAAAUGUUCCACGUGUGAGAUUUUGUAUGUACCAUAUGAAUAAGGAUCGGCUAACUCCGUGCCAGCAGCCGCGGUAAUACGGAGGAUCCGAGCGUUAUCCGGAUUUAUUGGGUUUAAAGGGAGCGUAGGUGGAUUGUUAAGUCAGUUGUGAAAGUUUGCGGCUCAACCGUAAAAUUGCAGUUGAAACUGGCAGUCUUGAGUACAGUAGAGGUGGGCGGAAUUCGUGGUGUAGCGGUGAAAUGCUUAGAUAUCACGAAGAACUCCGAUUGCGAAGGCAGUUCACUGGACUGCAACUGACACUGAGGCUCGAAAGUGUGGGUAUCAAACAGGAUUAGAUACCCCAGUAGUC
rnacentral:rRNA from 1 species